rnacentral:rRNA from 1 species
CAGCCGUAAACAAUGUGCGUUAGGUGUGUCGGUAACCACGCGUUACUGAUGCGCCGAAGAGAAAUCGUGAAACGCGCCACCUGGGAAGUACGGUCGCAAGGCUGAAACUUAAAGGAAUUGGCGGGGGAGCACCACAACAGGUGGAGCCUGCGGUUUAAUUGGAUUCAACGCCGGACAUCUCACCGGAUAAGACAGCUGAAUGAUUGUCAAUCUGAAGGUUUUACAUGACUAGCUGAGAGGAGGUGCAUGGCGUCAGUGACU